rnacentral:rRNA from 1 species
ACUGAACGCUGGCGGCAUGCUUUACACAUGCAAGUCGAACGGUAACAGGCCGCAGGGUGCUGACGAGUGGCGAACGGGUGAGUAAUGCAUCGGAACGUGCCCAGUCGUGGGGGAUAACUGCUCGAAAGAGCAGCUAAUACCGCAUACGAUCUAUGGAUGAAAGCGGGGGACCGUAAGGCAUCGCGUGAUUGGAGCGGCCGAUGUCAGAUUAGGUAGUUGGUGGGGUAAAGGCUCACCAAGCCAACGAUCUGUAGCUGGUCUGAGAGGACGACCAGCCACACUGGGACUGAGACACGGCCCAGACUCCUAAGGGAGGCAGCAGUGGGGAAUUUUGGACAAUGGGGGCAACCCUGAUCCAGCAAUGCCGCGUGCAGGAAGAAGGCCUUCGGGUUGUAAACUGCUUUUGUACGGAACGAAACGGUCUGGGUUAAUACCCUGGGCUAAUGACGGUACCGUAAGAAUAAGCACCGGCUAACUACGUGCCAGCCGCCGCGGUAACAC